rnacentral:rRNA from 1 species
AGCGAACGCUGGCGGCAGGCUUAACACAUGCAAGUCGAGCGGGCGUAGCAAUACGUCAGCGGCAGACGGGUGAGUAACGCGUGGGAACGUACCUUUUGGUUCGGAACAACACAGGGAAACUUGUGCUAAUACCGGAUAAGCCCUUACGGGAAAGAUUUAUCGCCGAAAGAUCGGCCCGCGUCUGAUUAGCUAGUUGGUGAGGUAACGGCUCACCAAGGCGACGAUCAGUAGCUGGUCUGAGAGGAUGAUCAGCCACAUUGGGACUGAGACACGGCCCAAACUCCUACGGGAGGCAGCAGUGGGGAAUAUUGGACAAUGGGCGCAAGCCUGAUCCAGCCAUGCCGCGUGAGUGAUGAAGGCCCUAGGGUUGUAAAGCUCUUUUGUGCGGGAAGAUAAUGACGGUACCGCAAGAAUAAGCCCCGGCCUAACUUCGUGCCAGCAGCCGCCAGUAAU